rnacentral:rRNA from 1 species
UACGGAGGGGGCGAGCGUUAUUCGGAAUCAUUGGGCGUAAAGGGCGCGUAGGCGGCCACCGCAAGUCAGUUGUGAAAUCUCUGGGCUUAACCCAGAAAGGUCAACUGAUACUGCGGGGCUAGAGUGCAGAAGGGGCAACUGGGAAUUCUCGGUGUAGCGGUGAAAUGCGUAGAUAUCGAGAGGAACACCUGCGGCGAAGGCGGGUUGCUGGGCUGACACUGACGUGAGGCGCGAAAGCUAGGGGAGCGAACGGG